rnacentral:rRNA from 1 species
AGUGAACGCUGGCGGUAGGCCUAACACAUGCAAGUCGAACGGCAGCACAGUAAGAGCUUGCUCUUACGGGUGGCGAGUGGCGGACGGGUGAGGAAUACAUCGGAAUCUACUUUUUCGUGGGGGAUAACGUAGGGAAACUUACGCUAAUACAGCAUACGACCUACGGGUGAAAGCAGGGGAUCUUCGGACCUUGCGCGAUUGAAUGAGCCGAUGUCGGAUUAGCUAGUUGGCGGGGUAAAGGCCCACCAAGGCGACGAUCCGUAGCUGGUCUGAGAGGAUGAUCAGCCACACUGGAACUGAGACACGGUCCAGACUCCUACGGGAGGCAGCAGUGGGGAAUAUUGGACAAUGGGCGCAAGCCUGAUCCAGCCAUACCGCGUGGGUGAAGAAGGCCUUCGGGUUGUAAAACCCUUUUGUUGGGAAAGAAAAGCAGCAGGUUAAUACCCCGCUGUUCUGACGGUACCCAAAGAAUAAGCACCGGCUAACUUCGUG